AUCCACUCGGAGCGAACCGGAUGAACAGAAGUAACUAUUCGCCGCGGGACGUCGGUUCGAUCAUCUUGGAAAGUUGGUCCAGCCUCUCGUUUCAGUCAGCCACCAUUCAGCAGCCGUCUCAACCCUCGGUAAACUGGUUUCAAGCAUAAUUGGACGCGACUCUGAAAUGACGCGCGUCCGUUCGCAACGCUUAGCUCGAACCAACUAACCGAGCUGCCAUUAUUUUAAUUUAUUUCCCCCGUUCCUUUCGGUCGAAACCCGCUAUAAGUUUGUGCACUUAACGAGCCUACGUAUUUUCGUGAUUUCUCUCAAACGUUUCUCGUUGCUCGUCUCGUGAACGAGAGUGAGGAGGGCGUGUUUCUGUGCGGACACCCCUAGAUUUCUCUUUGUCGAGUGAAUUUUGAGAUUGCGAGGAUACUUUGGUGAAGAUCAGAAGAUUUGGAGAAUAGAAUAUACAAAGCUUUGUGAAUUUUUUGUAAGCAUCGAACGUGUUAGUGUGAACCUUCGCAAAGACCUAUUUGAGAAGAAAAUGUAUUUGACAGAAAAAGGAACAAAGUUUCAAUUUUAUUCGAUAAAAAGUGCGCUGAAAAGUGGAACUGAUUGGACUUAAAAUAAAAGAGAUUAAUUAAGAAAUUACAAAGUUCCCUUGUAUAAUAUUCAACGGAAGCUAAUUUCGUGACUUUUGUUCUCUUUAAUUCUUUGACUUUUAUUCUGCUUUGUGCUCAUUGAUUCUCUGCAAUUCUUUGACUUUAAUUCUUCUUCGCCCUCUUCGACCCUUUUAUUCUUUGCUCUUUGACUUGAAAACCUUGAUUGAAUUCAACCGAAGCUUAAAACUUUUACGUACCCCUGAUAAAAUAAUCGUUUGCGGUUAAAGGGUUAAUAGAAUGAAUAAGAACCGUGAACUAUUCUCUAAUCUAGAACUACUGAAAAUCGGUGCAACGGAAGCGUAAAGGAAAGACGAUGCAGAGGAAUACGGUAGCAGUUUCUUGGAUCGAGUCCAUCGGUGUUGAAAGAUCUUCUCGUUCCAUUUACUCCGCGCUGAAUCGUUACCACGAUUCAAAAUGAAAUGUUCCAUGAAUCUUGGUGGCACGGUUCGGGCUCAAAGUAUCAAGAAACGAUUUGAGGGCGACGCCCGAUACGUCCAUCCUGACAGAUUACACUCAAUUUACGCAAUUAGGGUAACGAAGAGAGGAACACGUGUCGACGGCAGAAAUGCAUUCGAACGAACGCGGCCAUGAGCGGGCAUUGUGUAGAUCUUUAUCACCGAACAAUGCGGUAACGAGCGCCAUUAGCUUUUUGCUUUAUUGCGUUACGAGCUCCUGCAGCGACAGCUCGACACGAGGGAUCAAGUAACUCUCAUUAAGACAAACGAGUUAAAUAACUCACGGUUCACGGCUGUACGCUCUUCGCGUUUAAAAAAAAAAAAGAAGGGUCCGACUACUAUUUUUCAAGUAUUUGGGGAAACGACAUGUUUGCAUUAUCCAGUCACCUCGUCUAUUUUAUUAUUUGUGUCGAAGAAUUAUCAUUAAUUUUCAUUACAGAGAGCCGUAGCUUUGUAAUUCAAUUAAUCGUAUCUAUUUAUUGGAAAAAUGUUAAGUUUCUUUCCAGGAAAUAGGGGACCGGUUUUAUCGGUAAUAAAAAUAUCACAAAUGGGCUGGGCGCAUAAAGCAUGCAGUUGCAUAGAGUCGCAUCCGUGACCAAUUAGUACCGGGAACUUAUCUGUCGGUUAUUUACGAUCUGUACUCUACAUCCUUUACAAUAAAUAGUCUAUCAUCCGUCGAAAUUAUCGCGUUACGGAGGCCAUCGCUGCGCACGGCUCUUGUAACAGGGUUAUCGGUGACUCGUGCAGUAGAAACAGGGUCAGAUUCUUCUACUCGCAUCCCUGACGUAAAGACCGCUUCCUCGAACCGAGACUUCUUUCCCUGGAUCUGUAAAUGAAACGGUACAGAUGGUUUCCGACAGUGAAUUUUCAGAGGAUCACCAUUGACGAAUAAAUUCUGUUUCUUUCAACUUUGGAAACUCCGUUCGAUAACAUUGACGAACUAAAUUUUUUUACAGAAUUUUAUGCGCUGAUUAGAGAUCUACAAAUCAUUUCUCGAUUAGAUAAUAGUGCUCGGUUUAGUCACCUCUUAUUAGUGCGACUAGGAUUUUGACUUUAUUGACUGAAAUUUGUGAAUACACAUUAUCUCGCACAGAAUGACGCGAUAAAAGGCACGAAAGCAACAUUGAUCACCUUUCAGCAGCGUCGCCACUCAACGGGUUAAAAACAUCCUAUCGUCGAUACGCUCCGUCCGGUUCGAUCGGAAAGAAGCGUCGCAAAGCGUAUUUCCAAAGAACCGAACCGCCAGAAAAACGUGGAAGAGGGAACAAACUGACGGCUGCGUCGAUGCUCGACGGUCCAGAAUGUUGGUGGCUUUUUAGGACAGCUAGUCAGGAGAGGGGGUGAGGGACGACGAUGCCAGUACAACUAACGACGUGGCAGGUCGAGUAAAUCAGGAGGGAGAGUGACGAUAAGUUUUUGCUCGUUACAACCGGCCUGGGAAGCUCAUUACCCGGCUCCCUCUAACCCCGAACAGAAGGGUGAGGAACGACAGAAAAGAGUAGGUGGGGGAGGAGAAGGCAGCGUGGAAGCAGCCUUCGACCUUUCACCCCCGAAACGGCCGACCAAAAGUUUUACGCGAUGCUCGGUCCCAGCUUUUCGCUGAAAAACUACACGGUUUCCGCAACGUCCAGUUGCCAGGAACACAGGUGACAAAAAUAGAAAAACUCUGUUUCACCUGCUCCACUAAUGGACUUCCCUAAAUUUGGAAAAAGCGUUGACGCGUUUGCUGUCAGCGUUGAACUUUUUCGCCCAGCUACUUGAAAAUCAGAGAAAAGGUUAGUCAAUUCUAUCGGGCAGGUCUGCUUUAAGGCAAACAUCGAUCGUCCGGCCGACAAUUAGCGGGCCAAUCGAAUGGAAACAUUCUCCGCGUCUACUCUGCGGUCUGGAUAACAUUUUUCUGCGGCACACCACGGAUUUCGCGAUUGGACGUGCCGAACAAAUGGAGCUUUGCGCGGCCGUUCGGAAUUCAGACACGGAUCGUGGUGAGUCGCGUUUUCGAGGCAUUAGAACCCUUUUGUUACGCGCGCUGGUAAUUAGCACCGCGCGAAGGGAUGGCUGAGGGUCGAGUUAAGUGUAAGAAGAAAGUUACGAUGUGUUUGCUGGUGGUAACCUAUAAUAUUACAUUCACGAUUUAAACAGAGUCUCCAUAAAGUCCGAAAUUACAGGAAACACCCUUGAAUUCGUAAAAAGACGAACAGGAAAGCGGGACAAUUUUGACGAGUUAUAAGGUGUCGAGAAAGUAGUUACACGUAACGACGAUAUAAACCGUUUCACUGGAACGAUACGUUCGAAAUAUUUGCCAUGAAUCUUCGCGCCCCGAACAAGAGGGAGCAACACGUUUUAGGGGGGCGCAUUUAUGUACGUACAACAUUACGCUCUUCAGCUCCCACUUAACGCUUUGAAGAGCGACGCGAGCUUCGGUGACUGGCACACAGAAGCGAGCGCAAUAAAAAUCUCUGGCGAAACUUGGCGAAACUGAAAUGUCCCCAGGGAACUUUACGAAGGCGUCGUGACAAUUUCCAAAAGCGACAUAAACGUCGAAAGCGUCGUUAUCUUUCGCGAGUGUCGUAAACGGGAGCCUCGAUUGCCACGACGAUGUAAACAUCCGUUUCGCGGGGUGUCCCGCGCUCGCUUAUUCUCUCCGCGAGAUCGAACCGACGAUCCCCGUCGCGCGUAGAUCCGAAUCGUCGGGUGUUCGGUACCCGGGGACUAAUUGACCGUGUCGAGGAACUCAUUAAAAGUGCGGCCGGAACUCGAGACGUCGGUGGCUCGUAACGAGUGCUGUAAUUUGAGCUGGAUCCGUCCAUGUGCCGUGUAAACGUCGUUGCUAUAUAAUAUCUUAAUCCUCCGGCCACUCGGAGUUCCACUUUCGAGGAACCCCGUAAUAAAGGAUCUUCGAACGGACCGAGGGAGAUCUUGGUUCGCUGGAGAUUGGCCUCCCUUCAUGAUUACCAAGGAUCAUUGUUUCUGAUGUUGCAGUUGGGAAGAGAAUUGGUGGAACGUUGAUGAGGAUCCAUAGAAAGGGCCGCUGGGAUCGUACGGUGUGAAGUGGGUCCUUCCGGACUGUUCCCGGGAGAGCAGCUAAGACCAAAGGGGGUGAAUCGCGGAAGGAGGAUUCCGAUUCUUCGCUGCCGGAUUCAACUGAUCUGAAAGUAUAAGAACGGCACAGCGGUUUGCUGUCGUUUUUACCCGGGAAAUGCCGUACCCUACGGAAUAUCGCCGUUUUACGGACUGGAAUGGUGGCAUAAUAAAACGGAGCAUCUGUAAGAAUGCACAGUUUGCACAUACGUUAGAAAUUUGCGUUCACCGAGCCAUCAAUAACUCAGAAAACCCUUCUAGGUCUUAAAAUUCCGCGUGUACCGGCCGAGUGUCGCUCCGGGAUACAAGGAGGAAGGUUCUCAACGUUCCAUCGUCGAUCGUCAACGUCCAUGCAUUCCUAGGCGUCUGCUAACGCGAAUGAUGGCUAGCAAGGAUCAAAACAACGUCGUAGUCCUUGGAGCUGUCUCUAUCUAUCCGUCGGAUGCCGAACGGUCCAAGGAUGAAAUUAGAGUAGACAGCCGUGUUGUACGGAAGCUGGUGUCCAUGAGAGUUAAUCCUUUCGUGUCUGUCUUAAUAUUCAUGAAGAAUUUUGAAUCGAUCUACAGACGAUUGUGUUAUGAAAGGGUCAGUGUCCUCCCCCGAGGUUCAGCCGUAGUUGAGAUAUCAGAAUCCAACGAAUGCAAGCGUCCAGUCCUGAAACAGGGCGGGGAUCAGUAUUCGUGGUGGCCCACGUACAGUCGAAAUACGUGGUCGUUCGUCGAGGAAGCUCGCGAGUAACUUCUUCCGGCGAGGUACCGGAUGAUCGAGCACACGUUCCAGAAGCCGAGGAACUCGAUCCGCUCGGAGAGGACAUUCGGAUCGGUUGGUAGCCGGCGCAUGCCUGGCGCUCGUCAGAUUGCUCGAGCACAUUCGAGGCAACCGCAAAUCGAUAAGCGGUUAUCGUCGCGUUCGAGCUGAACCGUGUCUGGUUCUUCGUGGACCCAAAGUGUUCCUGUAACUCUUCUUUCGUGAACCCACUUCGCCGCGUAUCGCUCGAGCACGCCGAUAACGCGCCAGGUACACGCUCGACCAGGCCAGACUGCAAGGGAAGGAAGAAGAGAUAAACCGAACCGGAUGCUCGGCGCUGCAGGAAGGCAGCACUUUGACAGUGACUACAGAUACAAAAGACUCGACUUUGUUUUCAAGCGGUUUUGAAUUUGUGCCCACAGACCGAAUGCUGGCCGCGAUGACGAAGGGGAACGCCAUGGCUGACCGCAGAGCAAAGUAAAAUCCACUCAGUCUUAUAGCGACCGCCGAGAGGUGCGGAUCUACCUGUUAAACAUACAAAUACUUUUAUUUCAUUUUCUACGUUUAUUCAAUUUGCUGUAUGUGUUUUCUUAACUUAUUGAAUAUACUCAUUAGAAGGAUGA